rnacentral:lncRNA from 1 species
AUUUUGUAAUUGUAGGGACAGGGUCUCACUGUGUUGCCUAGGCUGAUCUCAAACUGCUGGGCUCAAGUGAUCGUUCCUCCUUGGCCUCCUGAAGUGCUGGAAUUAUAGGUGUGAACCACCAUGUCUGGCCUUAUUGUAGUUUAUUUCUAAGUUCAAAUUAAUGUUUGUGCUUUUCCUCCUUUUUUCUUAGCAGAUGGUUUGCUAGUGCACAGCCAGAGAACAACACAUCACACACAAGAAACAGUUGUGCUCAUGUGAUGGGGGCCUCAGCACUAGGAAGGAGUGGACUGUUGGCGCACGCAGCAGCUUGAAUAAAUCUGAAAGUCACUACGCUGCGUAAGAGAAGCCAAAUAAAGCGCAUGCUGUGUACAGAGGGUGUCGAGAAUGUGUCCUACGUGACGGAAAGCAGAUCCGUGGUUCCCUGCAGACUGGCAGGAGCAGAUUCCAAAGGCACAGGAAGAAGCUUGCAGGUUUCCUUAACGACAACAAAAAAGGGAGUAAUCCUACCUACUGUAAGAGUCAUGACUCUUGAUUGCAGCUGACAGAAACUCAUGACAGCCUGGUUUAGAUAAAGGGGGAGAGAAGGACUGGAAGAAUCUUGGAGUUGGGAAUGUCGCACGUAAUUGAAGGAAGAACAAGAAAACUAUAAUUCUUCCCCUGGAGGCUGGAGUUUCCAGGAUGUCAAAAUUACCUCUGCUUGGGUGAGCUAUUUCAAGCAGCUGGGAUACCUGUGUCACUCCUGCUGUCUGCCAGUGACUGCCCAGGUGUCUGCUGGUUCCUCCC